AGAAUGAACGUUGGCGGCGUGGAUUAGGCAUGCAAGUCGUACGGGCCGCAAGGCCAGUGGCGCAAGGGUGAGUAAGGCGACGGUAACCAACCCCGUGAUUGGGUAUAGCCGCGGGAAACUGCGGGUAAUCCCCAGCGACGUCUUUGAGGGGCAUCCCCCGAAGACCAAAGCUCAGGCGUCGCGGGACGGGCUGUCGUGGUAUUAGCUUGUUGGCGGGGUAACGGCCCACCAAGGCUGUGAUGCCUACCGGGCGUGCGAGCGUGGCCCGGCACACUGGGACUGAGACACUGCCCAGACUCCUACGGGAGGUUGCAGUCGAGAAUCUUCGGCAAUGGGCGCAAGCCUGACCGAGCGACGCCGCGUGGAGGACGAAGGCCUUCGGGUUGUAAACUCCUGUCGAGGGGGAAGAAGGGGUAAAACCUUGACUGAUCCUGGAGGAAGCACGGGCUAAGUUCGUGCCAGCAGCCGC
rnacentral:rRNA from 1 species